rnacentral:rRNA from 1 species
UACAGAGGUCCCGAGCGUUGUUCGGAUUCACUGGGCGUAAAGGGUGCGUAGGUGGUGAGGUAAGUCGGAUGUGAAAUCUCCGGGCUCAACCCGGAAAUGGCAUUGGAAACUACCUUGCUUGAGGUUUGGAGGGGGGACUGGAAUGCUUGGUGUAGCAGUGAAAUGCGUAGAUAUCUGGAGGAAUACCGGUGGCGAAGGCGGCAUCCUGGACCAUUACUGACGCUGAGGCGCGAAAGCUAGGGGAGCAAACGGG